rnacentral:rRNA from 1 species
AACGAACGCUGGCGGCGCGCCUAACACAUGCAAGUCGAACGCGAAAGAGGGGCAACUCUUGAGUAAAGUGGCGCACGGGUGAGUAACGCGUAGGUGAUCUACCUUUGCGAUCGGGAUAACCAGCCGAAAGGUUGGCUAAUACCGGAUAGAGCGCAGGGAGCAUAAAGCUUCAUGCGGGAAAUGAGGGCGUAGCAAUACGCUCUUGCGCUGAGAUGAGCCUGCGUCUCAUUAGCUAGUUGGUGAGGUAAUGGCUCA